rnacentral:rRNA from 1 species
AACGAACGCUGGCGGCAUGCCUAACACAUGCAAGUCGAACGAGACCUUCGGGUCUAGUGGCGCACGGGUGCGUAACGCGUGGGAACCUGCCCUUAGGUUCGGAAUAACUCCCCGAAAGGGGUGCUAAUACCGGAUAAUGUCUUCGGACCAAAGAUUUAUCGCCUUUGGAUGGGCCCGCGUUGGAUUAGCUAGUUGGUAGGGUAAAAGCCUACCAAGGCGACGAUCCAUAGCUGGUCUGAGAGGAUGAUCAGCCACACUGGGACUGAGACACGGCCCAGACUCCUACGGGAAGCAGCAGGGGGGGAUAUUGGACAAUGGGCGGAAGCCUGAUCCAGCAAUGCCGCGUGAGUGAUGAAGGCCUUAGGGUUGGAAAGCCCUUUUACCCGGGAUGAUAAUGACAGGACCGGGAGAAUAAGCUCCGGCUAACUCCGUG